UAAGAAUAUCUCGAUCGGAUCUUCCAUUAAUUAUUUCUCUAAACAACAAACUCAAUUUAAUACAUUUUUAUCGAAAUUAUAGGAAUAUUAGUCACUUGCUAUAAAUACAUUUUAAAAAAACAUUUAAUGCUGAAAUAUUUCAAUGAAAUAUCUAUACAGAGAUUUACGGCAAUAUUCCCUAAGAUUACGAUAACAAAUUUGAGACAUUAAUGCUAUCAGAAAACAAUGAAAUGGAAAUCAAAGAUUGAACUCAUUCACCUUUAGCAUUCAUUGUUUUUAUUUGAUUUUUUUUUUAAAAUAUUGUCCUUAGAAAUCGUUGACAAAUAUUCAUACCGACUGAAUUAAGGAAAUUAUUUACUACUAUACAAAAUCGGAAUUAAAGCAUAUUCCUAAAAAAAAAAUCCGAUUAGAAUGAUUUGAUUAAAAAGAUUAAAGCAUGAAUAUUUACCUUGGCCACCACUACUUUCGUAACCUAAUCUUCCACGCCUAUAUAAACUCUUUAGCUUCACUUCUCAUCCCACCAUCAAACACACAAAGCCUUUUUAUUCUUCUACCGAAAUCGCAACAUCAAACACACAAAGCCUUCUGUAUCGCCAGGGCAUGGCGUAUUGAUAUUGGGUAGGGGUAUAUGCUUCUUCCUCGGCCUCAGAUUCCUUGUGCCCACCGCCACUGCGCGUGUUCUUCACCUGCAUUUAUAUUUCCAUUAUUCAGAUAUUAAUUACCAAUAAUGUAUUAGAUUGUGAAAAUAGUCUAAUUAUAUUAUUAAUCUGGGUUUGCAUGUGAAA